ensembl:lncRNA
GCUUGGAUGUAUUUUCUUCCCAAAAUGUUAUAUUAUUAUUUUCAGGCCAGAACAAAACUCAAAAAAACAUUUGAUGGGCAAAAUACAACCAAGAAAUCUUUAAUCUAUAAUUACAAAGUGUCCAGCAAACUAAAUGGGUUUGGUGUAACAACUAAUUAAAUUGUGUUAUGGCUUAUUAAGACAUUAUAGAAAAGUAAGACACUGCAGUUUUUGUUUUUUUCUACUUGUUGUGAGGAGUUGGAUUAAUGACUCAUGUCGUUUUCGUCCCAAUGUGUACUUCAUUAUACAUAGUACAUAUAGUAAACCGUGUAUUCAGUAUAUCAAAUGGAGUUUGUUAGCAAGUUAAAUGUUGUAGUAAGAAUAUCAGUUCAUCCAAAUUGUUGCAGAAUACUGUUGUUGACCUUUUAUAUAGUAUCCAAAAUGGCCCGCAGAUAUCACCCUCUCACCACUAGGGGCGAUGUUUGUGCAUUUUAUUCACGCUUCUUUGUCCAGAUUCUCAGAAGAAGAACAGUUGGAGAAGAGUUUAACGCAGAUAACAAAAACUAAUUCAAACAUUAUUCAAAAUGAGAAUUGUGCUAAAAACGCACACCUUGUUCAAGGAAAUCAUUCACCCUUCUUUGCAAAGACAAGCGAUGUAUAUACUCUUGUUCUAGAAGAAAAUUGUUAAUUGUUAUGCUAUUAGCAUUAGCCUAGCAAGCCAAAUGAUUAGUUAAAUUGACUAUGAUGAAUAAAGCCGGUGUAUUUAGGAAUAGACAAGUUUCCUGAGUGAAAUAGGCGGGCCGCCAUUGGCCUUUCACUCUGCCAACGACUUCCGGUUGUGUCUGCAAAGCACUUCCGGAUAGCGAGUUAGCGUCUCUUACGGUCUUUGGUUAGCGUGCAGAAAAAGUAAACUAUGGAUGGUGUUACACGCUGACACGGCUCCGUGACAUAUUGUGCUGUUCACGGUUGCAACAACUCGUGGCGAUUGCUGAAUGUUUGGUCGGAAGGAGAGUGUUUCGACCAUCUACAAAUGAGUAAAAUGCUAUAGAUUUGCACUCAAAUACGGAAGGCUUAUCAUUCGCGGAAGUCAACACAGUCUACUAAUUAUUACGCAGAUGAAUGUCAGCUUUUUCAUUGAAAAAAAAAAGUAAGUUAAUACCUUUAUCCAUUCCGAAGCUAUUAAUAGAUAUGUCAAGGGUGCGCACUUUGACGCUCGUCAGUCGACUUUGAAGGGUUAAAGCAUGCUUUUAGUGCAGGCAGGCUAGAGGGGAUUGCUUUUUCUUUUUAUUACUCUUCGUGUUCUGUUAUAUGUUAACACACGGAUACAUACAAACAUCUUAAUACAAGCAUAAGAUGGGCUAACGUACCUUCCAAAGUACGGCGGCUGCAUGGCUACAGGUACAGCCUGCAGUCUCCACAUCUCCCAUCUUGGUAACCAAAACCCAGGCGUUAUGCGCUGAAUUGUUAACGGACUGGCUUGGUUGAACAUCGGCCUUUAUAUGCCCAUAUCGUGUAAAAGUACACAGCCCACUUUGUCGGAAUGGAGGUACUGAAACGCCUUUGAGCUUUUCAGGUUAUUAAUUGCAUUCCCAUCCACCGCCAUGGAAUAAAUAAAAUAAGAAAAGAUCUUGGAUGUUGUGAUGCUGGGCCAUAUCGACAUGUUGUCCGCCCAUGAUGUUACCAUACUUGGAUGCGGAAUGGUCAAAACAC